UAAAUAUAUCACCAACAUGUAUGUCAUAGGUACAGAGGUAAUAAACAGACUAGUUAUCUAAAAUGAACAUUCAACCAUCGCAGUACACAUGUGAAAUGAAACAAAGCUAGUUCUCACAGAACAACAAUUAAGUAAGAACAAUCAUGUUUCUUGACUGAACAAAUCUAAUAAUCUCACAACUAAAAUUCUUAUAGAAUGGAACAAGUAGGUGAACACACACACACAACUACGAAUAUGGUGUUACAGGGCACAGUUCUAAUACUCUCACAUAAACAAAAUAAGUACUACUAAUCAAGCACAAGUCUGAAACUAAACAAGCUUCAAGCACUACUCAAAUCUGAACAUUACAAAGCAUUUGCCAUACACAUCUCAAUUCUGAAUAUUACAAAGUCUAAACAUUACACUACCCUAAACAUUACACUACUCAAGGUUACAGAAAUUUGAGAGAGAGGGAGAGAGAGAGAGAACAACAGCUGGAUUAUGGUUCAGAAAAGAAGCAAAGAAGCAGAGGAAGAGGAGGAGGCGUUGAGGAGGGACGGCAGCAAGGAACAGAGGAGCAGCGAAGGGGGUUCAGAGAGAAGGGAUAAGCAGCAGGGGCGUUGGAGAGAGAGCAACAGCAAGUUGGGGCAAGGGAAGGUGAAGAGCAGCAGCAGGUAUAGGAGAAGAAGAAGGAGCAGCGGCGGCUCGGCGCAAGAAGAAGAAGCAGAAAGCAGCGGAAGGAGGGAGAAGGAGCAGCGAGGGAGAUUGUAGACGAGCAGCAGCAGGGGCGCGGAGAAGAAGGAGCAGCAGACAGGGAUUCAGCGAAGCGGGGAAGAAGGGAAGAAGAAGCAGCGGCGGUGUGUCUGGCCGGGCGCGCCGGCUGGAGGGAGAGGUCGUGCGAGGUGGGCACUGGUAGCUGGUUGGCGCGCCGCCACGCUGGCCUGGCCGCAGCGGCGGCCGUAGGUGGAGAAGGAAGCGGGGGAGAGAGGAGAUGGAGAUAUACCAGGCCCAAUUUGGGAAUGGAUGCAUCUAGGGAUUUUGAUCCCCAUCUGAUCUGCCACUUUUAUGAUUUGGCCCUCCUCUUCUAUUCAUUUCUUCCCAAGAAGAUCCCCUUCUUCUUUUAGUUUGCUCCCCUGGAUACUUCUUUUCUUCUCACUGAAGUCCUUGACGUAUUUCUUUCAUGCCCUUCUCUCUUCUGGUUAGCCAUAUGUUCGGAAUCUUGACGAUUAUAGUGCCUUUGCGCACUUUUCUGCAAAAGAAACAAGUGACAAGUAAAUGAACCCUUUAUAUGAUUCUCAUUAAAAUAUGCGGUAAUUCAUAGCAAGAAUUGAUUGUCAGAUCACAACAGAUGCUAUAUUUGGGUGUCAAAUUAUAUAUAUGAAAUGUGCUUAUCAAGUUCCCCCACACUUAAAUCUUUGCUUGUCCUCAAGCAAAGGCAAAUGACAAUAGCAAGAAUGUGAACAGUGAGCUGACUAGAGAAUGCCAAGUGAAGUAGAUCUCCAAACAAUGCAUGCUUUGGACUUAGCUAGUGAAAAUCAAUGGUUAGGAGUGCUUCAAAGCGGUAGAAUACUAGUAGACUUGACCAUUUUAAACUUUUACAAUGAUAAAAGAGGAUCAACAAGUUUAAGUGAUGACUGUGCCAAAUGGUUCCUAAAGAGAGCAUGAUCCCGAGAACAAAAAGAACUGGAAUUAAAUCUUGUGAUCAAAUCACUUAUUUACAGAGAUAAAGCAAUGAUUAUAUUAUUAUUAGUCUCACCAUAGGAACAUACCAGCGAUCCCGAGAACAUGGUAUACACCCAGCUCAACCAAUUAUUAGUUUUUUUUGUUUGCCUCCCCAAAGGAACAUACCACCGAUCCCGAGAACAUGGUAUACACCUGGUUCGACAAUUACAUUUUUUAACAUAAUUAACUCCUAUCCGAUCCAACCAGAUUUCACAAGCCACCGAUCCAGGGAACAUGGCAUGCUACUGUUAGGUAAGAUCAAAUAAUUAUUCAUUAUAAUAUAUACUUUUUUUUGAACAAAAACAAGAAUCAUCACUCAACCAUGUUUGGUUCACAUACUACCGAUCCAGGGAACAUAGCAUGCUAAUCCAUAGUGGUUAGGUGAUUGCUCUCAAUGGGAACACACUUAGCACAAAUUCAGCAUCUAAACAUGGUGAUCUAGGUGUAUCAUAGUAAAUUCAGAAAAUGAUGAAGUUUUCUAGUGUACUAGGGAUUUGAGCACUCAAAACUACUAGUUCUCACUAAUUUCAGCAAAGCAAUCAUUGUAUAGAUCACUAGUUUACAAGGCAUUCAAUAAUCAGUUCUCAUGUUCACAUCAAGCACAAUAUGUCAAAUAAAAUUCAGUGGGAAAUCAUUUAAGAAAUGGCUUAAGAAACUCAAAUAUCAAAUGAUUUCAGCAUGAUCAAUGGAUGAUAUAUUCAGAUUGGGGUCAUGAAACAGCUCACCGGGCUUUGAUCAUGUAGCACUCGCUUGAUCACUCUCUAAGUUGCGGCUCUUCUCCAUUGCUCGUGCAUGCUCCAGCUUCACUCUUCUUCGCGUGUACCCAUUGCUUCUCCUCAUCACCAUGCCGUGAAUCCACCAGGAUCCCAGGGAAUGUCAUCUUGAACUCGGUCAACUCGCAGUAAGUGGUGCACAAGCAUCAACCUGAAAGAACACUCAACAACCAAGCCAAUACAAGUGACAGAGAGAAUGCCCUCUAAGUCAUCGAUAGAGUACCCUAGCAUAUAAGUAUAUCUAUUGAGAAAAUCAGGAACAUGUAUCAACAACAAGUCACAUGGUGCAUAGGCAAUAUCAGCGAUAUGACAUAACUUAUCCAGAAAGCUGACAUAAUACCUGAAAUGGCCUUGGAAAAGUUUUAUGACUACCUCAACUGAAGAUACCAUGGAAGGCAUGGUAGUAGAAACUUCCACCGGGCUCGUAUCGACAGGUGAAAUAGUAGGACUUUGCUCCUUGACAUCUGAAGUGACCUCAUCAUAAUCAACAAUGAAGAUUUCCAUCUCAGGCUCAAGCGUUGAAGAAUCGAUGUGGCUAACAUCAUCAAAGGUGAACUUUUCCAUAUCUGGCUCUAGCAGCACAUGAUCAAUAUCAACUAAAGGUAUCUCCUCAAUAUCAAAAGUAACUAACAGUAGCUCUGGUUCAUCCACACAAGAAUCAUCACAAUGCAAAACUGAAUCUAGAAUGCUAGUAUCCAUAUGAUCUGAAGUGUGUGUGUCAACUAGGAUGGUGUCAUCAUCAUCAAAGAUAAUCCAUGAAAGCUCAAUCUUGUCACAUGAAGAAACUGGUUCCGGAUUUUGUGUAAGAGAUUCUUGCUGAGAUGAAGUGAUUUGUUGCAAGCAAGCAACUGGGCCAGAGGUGGGCUUCUCAUUGUACCACUGAAGUUGGUGGAAGGCUAUGUUCUCAAUCAGCAGAAAAGCAUCAUCAAGUGUCUUGUUUGUAAUAGCUCCACCCGCUGCCAUAUCGACGUAAGCUCGAGUGUCCGAAGUCAAUCCUCUAUAGAAUAUCUGCAGCUCUAACCAUCUCUCAAGCCCAUGAUUAGGACAUCUCCUGAGUAUCUCUCCCAAGCAUCAUACAAGCUCUCGCCUUCACGCUGAACGAAAUUGAAGAUCUCAUCUCGAAUUGCGGACUACUUGUGUAAUGGGAAAUAUUUAUCCAAGAAAGCUCGUGAUAUCUCAUUCCAACCAAAUGAUCUUGAUGGCAAGGAUCGAUACCAAGCACGAGCAUCAUCUCGGAGAGAGAAUGUGAACAGCAUGCACUUGAUAACAUCUUGAGGAACUCCUUGAUACUUUACUGUAUCUGAAUACUCCAUGACACGGAGCAAGUGCACAUAAGGGUCUUUAGUAGGCAGUACUCCAAACUGUUGUUGUUGAACCAAAGCAAUAAGACUAGGUUUCAGCUCGAAGUUCUCUGCCUCAAUAGUUGGCCAAGCCGGUCCUAUGAUAUAGCACCGACUUUUGGGCAUCCAUAGAUCACGAAGCAAUGCCAUCUUAACCGAGUGUAACUAUAGAACAACCUACAAUUAGUUCAGAUUUCCUAGCACACUCAUAAACAGUAAACACUAGUCAGAAAGUUAGUAUCCUAAUAAGCAGAAGCAACAAAAAGUAAGAAGGUAAAAGAAGCACCGAAAUAAAUUUGACUGGAAAUUUAAACAAAAACUGUACUAAGCCUUGUCUAUAGCUUCACACAAUCGUUCAACGCUAGUCCCCAGCAACGGCGCCAAAAUGAUCGGUGGUAAGUACAGUGGGUUUUUCUCGCCCGAACUGCGAGUGUCAUGUUCCCCACAGGGACUAGGAGACGACGACUAUGCUCAGCUAAAUCUAGGUAACACACAUUUAAGAGACGAAUGCAGAAAAUAAAACCUAAACUAACAAGGUCGUUCUCAAAUAUCGUCAACAAAGAAAAUGCAAAGAGCACAGGGAGAUUCAGAUUUUACUCAUUGUCUUUUUGGUAUUUUCGUAAUGCUUGAGAAGUUCAAAUACUAAUACGAGUAUACAUCAAUGACAAGAGAAGUGAAAGGACAUGAACAUAACAUGACAAGGACACAUAUUAAUCUAUCAAACAUGAACAGAGGAAAGAAACAAGCUUGUAGGACAGAAAUAUAUCACAACACAAACCGAUCUAGGACAGAAAUACACCUGGUUCGACAAUUACAUUUUUUAACAUAAUUAACUCCUAUCCGAUCCAACCAGAUUUCACAAGCCACCGAUCCAGGGAACAUGGCAUGCUACUGUUAGGUAAGAUCAAAUAAUUAUUCAUUAUAAUAUAUACUUUUUUUUGAACAAAAACAAGAAUCAUCACUCAACCAUGUUUGGUUCACAUACUACCGAUCCAGGGAACAUAGCAUGCUAAUCCAUAGUGGUUAGGUGAUUGCUCUCAAUGGGAACACACUUAGCACAAAUUCAGCAUCUAAACAUGGUGAUCUAGGUGUAUCAUAGUAAAUUCAGAAAAUGAUGAAGUUUUCUAGUGUACUAGGGAUUUGAGCACUCAAAACUACUAGUUCUCACUAAUUUCAGCAAAGCAAUCAUUGUAUAGAUCACUAGUUUACAAGGCAUUCAAUAAUCAGUUCUCAUGUUCACAUCAAGCACAAUAUGUCAAAUAAAAUUCAGUGGGAAAUCAUUUAAGAAAUGGCUUAAGAAACUCAAAUAUCAAAUGAUUUCAGCAUGAUCAAUGGAUGAUAUAUUCAGAUUGGGGUCAUGAAACAGCUCACCGGGCUUUGAUCAUGUAGCACUCGCUUGAUCACUCUCUAAGUUGCGGCUCUUCUCCAUUGCUCGUGCAUGCUCCAGCUUCACUCUUCUUCGCGUGUACCCAUUGCUUCUCCUCAUCACCAUGCCGUGAAUCCACCAGGAUCCCAGGGAAUGUCAUCUUGAACUCGGUCAACUCGCAGUAAGUGGUGCACAAGCAUCAACCUAAAAGAACACUCAACAACCAAGCCAAUACAAGUGACAGAGAGAAUGCCCUCUAAGUCAUCGAUAGAGUACCCUAGCAUAUAAGUAUAUCUAUUGAGAAAAUCAGGAACAUGUAUCAACAACAAGUCACAUGGUGCAUAGGCAAUAUCAGCGAUAUGACAUAACUUAUCCAGAAAGCUGACAUAAUACCUGAAAUGGCCUUGGAAAAGUUUUAUGACUACCUCAACUGAAGAUACCAUGGAAGGCAUGGUAGUAGAAACUUCCACCGGGCUCGUAUCGACAGGUGAAAUAGUAGGACUUUGCUCCUUGACAUCUGAAGUGACCUCAUCAUAAUCAACAAUGAAGAUUUCCAUCUCAGGCUCAAGCGUUGAAGAAUCGAUGUGGCUAACAUCAUCAAAGGUGAACUUUUCCAUAUCUGGCUCUAGCAGCACAUGAUCAAUAUCAACUAAAGGUAUCUCCUCAAUAUCAAAAGUAACUAACAGUAGCUCUGGUUCAUCCACACAAGAAUCAUCACAAUGCAAAACUGAAUCUAGAAUGCUAGUAUCCAUAUGAUCUGAAGUGUGUGUGUCAACUAGGAUGGUGUCAUCAUCAUCAAAGAUAAUCCAUGAAAGCUCAAUCUUGUCACAUGAAGAAACUGGUUCCGGAUUUUGUGUAAGAGAUUCUUGCUGAGAUGAAGUGAUUUGUUGCAAGCAAGCAACUGGGCCAGAGGUGGGCUUCUCAUUGUACCACUGAAGUUGGUGGAAGGCUAUGUUCUCAAUCAGCAGAAAAGCAUCAUCAAGUGUCUUGUUUGUAAUAGCUCCACCCGCUGCCAUAUCGACGUAAGCUCGAGUGUCCGAAGUCAAUCCUCUAUAGAAUAUCUGCAGCUCUAACCAUCUCUCAAGCCCAUGAUUAGGACAUCUCCUGAGUAUCUCUCCCAAGCAUCAUACAAGCUCUCGCCUUCACGCUGAACGAAAUUGAAGAUCUCAUCUCGAAUUGCGGACUACUUGUGUAAUGGGAAAUAUUUAUCCAAGAAAGCUCGUGAUAUCUCAUUCCAACCAAAUGAUCUUGAUGGCAAGGAUCGAUACCAAGCACGAGCAUCAUCUCGGAGAGAGAAUGUGAACAGCAUGCACUUGAUAACAUCUUGAGGAACUCCUUGAUACUUUACUGUAUCUGAAUACUCCAUGACACGGAGCAAGUGCACAUAAGGGUCUUUAGUAGGCAGUACUCCAAACUGUUGUUGUUGAACCAAAGCAAUAAGACUAGGUUUCAGCUCGAAGUUCUCUGCCUCAAUAGUUGGCCAAGCCGGUCCUAUGAUAUAGCACCGACUUUUGGGCAUCCAUAGAUCACGAAGCAAUGCCAUCUUAACCGAGUGUAACUAUAGAACAACCUACAAUUAGUUCAGAUUUCCUAGCACACUCAUAAACAGUAAACACUAGUCAGAAAGUUAGUAUCCUAAUAAGCAGAAGCAACAAAAAGUAAGAAGGUAAAAGAAGCACCGAAAUAAAUUUGACUGGAAAUUUAAACAAAAACUGUACUAAGCCUUGUCUAUAGCUUCACACAAUCGUUCGACGCUAGUCCCCAGCAACGGCGCCAAAAUGAUCGGUGGUAAGUACAGUGGGUUUUUCUCGCCCGAACUGCGAGUGUCAUGUUCCCCACAGGGACUAGGAGACGACGACUAUGCUCAGCUAAAUCUAGGUAACACAAAUUUAAGAGACGAAUGCAGAAAAUAAAACCUAAACUAACAAGGUCGUUCUCAAAUAUCGUCAACAAAGAAAAUGCAAAGAGCACAGGGAGAUUCAGAUUUUACUCAUUGUCUUUUUGGUAUUUUCGUAAUGCUUGAGAAGUUCAAAUACUAAUACGAGUAUACAUCAAUGACAAGAGAAGUGAAAGGACAUGAACAUAACAUGACAAGGACACAUAUUAAUCUAUCAAACAUGAACAGAGGAAAGAAACAAGCUUGUAGGACAGAAAUAUAUCACAACACAAACAUAUAUAUUUCACAAGCACAUAGUUAACCACGGUUCAGGUUACAUGAGUGAAAACACGUAUACGAACGGGGGUUUACAAGAAGUACUCACAGAUUAACAAAAUGAUACGUACUGGACAAGCACAAGUCAAGGAACAACCACAAAAGAGAUCACACACAUACACUAGCAAAAUAUUAAUUAACAGAAGAUGACAAGUACCAACUAAAUAUAUCACCAACAUGUAUGUCAUAGGUACAGAGAUAAUAAGCAGACUAGUUAUCUAAAAUGAACAUUCAACCAUCGCAGUACACAUGUGAAAUGAAACAAAGCUAGUUCUCACAGAACAACAAUUAAGUAAGAACAAUCAUGUUUCUUGACUGAAGAAAUCUAAUAAUCUCACAACUAAAAUUCUUAUAGAAUGGAACAAGUAGGUGAACACACACACACAACUAUGAAUAUGGUGUUACAGGGCACAGUACUAAUACUCUCACAUAAACAAAAUAAGUACUACUAAUCAAGCACAAGUCUGAAACUAAACAAGCUUCAAGCACUACUCAAAUCUGAACAUUACAAAGCAUUUUCCAUACACAUCUCAAUUCUGAAUAUUAAAAAGUCUGAACAUUACACUACCCUGAACAUUACACUACUCAAGGUUACAGAAAUUUGAGAGAGAGAGAGAACAACAGCAGGAUUAUGGUUCAGAAAAGAAGCAAAGAAGCAGAGGAAGAGGAGGAGGCGUUGAGGAGGGGCGGCAGCAAGGAACAGAGGAGCAGCGAAGGGAGGUUCAGAGAGAAGGGAUAAGCAGCAGGGGCAUUGGAGAGAGAGCAGCAGUAGGUUGGGGCAAGGGAAGGUGAAGAGCAGCAUCAGGUAUAGGAGAAGAAGAAGGAGCAGCGGCAGCUCGGCGCAAGAAGAAGAAGCAGAAAGCAGCGGAAGGAGGGAGAAGGAGCAGCGAGGGAGAUUGUAGACGAGCAGCAGCAGGGGCGCAGAGAAGAAGGAGCAGCAGACAGGGAUUCAGCGAAGCGGGGAAGAAGGGAAGAAGAAGCAGCGGCGGUGUGUCUGGCCGGGCGCGCCGGCUGG
rnacentral:lncRNA from 1 species